rnacentral:rRNA from 1 species
CACACCGCCCGUCACACCAUGGGAGUCGUUCGCUCCAGAAGUGCCUGCGCCAACCGCAAGGAGGCAGGGCCCCAAGGAGUGAAUGGUAACUGGGGGUG